UUCGUGGGCAUGAGCCCAGAGUGUGUUUUUACAUACUUUUAUAUGUACUUUCUUUUAUUUGGAUCUUGAUUAUUAUUUCAUUUUAUCUUUAUCAUUUUUUACUUUUAUUAAACUUGUCUGCAGACAUUACUUUUGCUGUUUAAACACAUGCCAAGUAAAUGCUGAUGCCAAAUAAUUGAGUCACCUGUAGAAGGAGGUACACUGACUCUGAAAGGAGGUACACUGACUCUGACUUGUAGCCUGCAGCGGUGUUCUGUCUCUGGCAGAUUUCACUGCCCGGGACGUUUUCAAUACCCCUCGUCACU